ACGGUGCAGAUGCCAGUGAAGAAGACCCAACAUGGGCUGGGGAGGAAGAGGGUGCAGACUCCGGGGAGGAGGAUGGUGUGGAUGCCAGCGAGGAAGAUGAUACAAUUACCAAUGAAAAGGCAGACAGUAUUCUAAAUUUUUUGAAGUCAACACAAGAAAUGUAUUUUUAUGACGCUUGGGGCAGACCAACAGUCAUGCCAGGAGUAACCAAAAAGCCAGGUUGAGAAACACCUGUUGAAAGGAUCAGCAAGCUACUCAGGAAACCAGCUCAUAGAAAGAUGGAACUCCUGGAACCCUCAUGGGGAGAUUAUCAUGGAAACAUCUGCAGCCACUUGUCUUCAGGAAUCUGCCAGUCCUGAGUGUGGGCGUAGGGUGAGGGUCUGGGGAAAGGACCUGGUGGAGCCCAGAGAGCAGAAAAACCAGCCUCACAGGUUGAGAGACCAAAAGCAGAGCCUGGAGCCCAGUGAGCACAGACAUUAGAGCCGGGGCCGGCAGGUUCAGAAGUCAGAGCCUGGAGCCCAAUGAGCACAGACAUUAGAGCUGGGGCCGGCAGGUUGAGGUCAGAGCCUGGGGACCAAUGGGCUC
rnacentral:sRNA from 1 species